GUACGCGCGUGCGAUCCGGCUCGUAUUCUCUCUGGAUUACAAAACGGGUCCUUCCUACACAUCUACAAGUAAUAUUAAUUUUCCAUCCCUCUACUGCAUCACGAACGUCCACCUGAGACAACGCGCAGGCGGAGGCGUUGAGAGGCAGACGGUGGGUGAUGGCAGAGACACGUGGCAGAGGCACGGACCGCUUAUGAAAGGUAGAAGAAACAGGAAAAAAUAAAUAAAUAAACAAAUAAAUGAAAGAACAGACCGUAGAGUGGAGAACAGGCCGAACACUGACGACCAGAUUGAACAGCAACGGAAGAAGGAAAAAAGAACACAUUGACGGUUGUGGAUGGUCGGGUACACGUUCUCGGAGUACACCAGGACGGGCAGCUCCCUCACUCCUGACUCGUUGAAGGACGCCGCGAUGAGGUACUCGCCGGUGGGACUCGGCCACACCGCGUUGUUCCGGCCCAGGAUCUCUACAAAGCGUCAUCCAGUCACUCACACGUAUAACCAAGCGAAGAUUUGCGUUCAAGACAUACUCUCUGUCUCUGUGUCUUUCCUGGAAGGAUGAAACAGCACCUAAAAAGUUAAGUUGCUCUAUGCUUGAACAUCUCUUACACACACAAAAAAAAAAGGUAAAUAAAUAUGUAAAUGCAAUAAAUAAAAAAAUAAUAAGAGUACAAAGGUGCUUCUAGCCGAAUGCUGACUAAUACAAACUCACCAUGACUUGACCUAACUUAUCUUGUAUCCUUCCCUGACCCAAUAUAAGCUAACCCUAACUUGACCUUGAAUCCUUUCCUGACCUAAUGUAAUCUUACCUUGACUUGAGCUAACUUACUUUCCAUCCUUACCUAACCUAAUAUGACCUUACCCUGACUUGACCUAACUUAUCUUGCAUCCUUCCCUGACCAAAUAUGACCUUACCCUGACUUGACCUAACUUAACUUGCAUCCUUCCCUGAUCUAAUAUAAGUUUACCCUGACUUGACCUAACCUGGCCUACAUCCUGCCCUGACCUAACGCCAAAUGUUCUC